rnacentral:rRNA from 1 species
AGUGAACGCUGGCGGUAGGCCUAACACAUGCAAGUCGAACGGCAGCACAGUAAGAGCUUGCUCCUACGGGUGGCGAGUGGCGGACGGGUGAGGAAUACAUCGGAAUCUACUUUUUCGUGGGGGAUAACGUAGGGAAACUUACGCUAAUACCGCAUACGACCUACGGGUGAAAGCAGGGGAUCUUCGGACCUUGCGCGAUUGAAUGAGCCGAUGUCGGAUUAGCUAGUUGGCGGGGUAAAGGCCCACCAAGGCGACGAUCCGUAGCUGGUCUGAGAGGAUGAUCGGCAACACUGGAACGGAGACACGGUCCAGACUCCUACGGGAGGCAGCAGUGGGGAAUAUUGGACAAUGGGCGCAAGCCUGAUCCAGCAAUACCGCGUGAGUGAAGAAGGCCUUCGGGUUGUAAAGCCCUUUUGUUGGGAAAGAAAAGCAGCAGGUUAAUACCCCGCUGUUCUGACGGUACCCAAAGAAUAAGCAACGGCUAACUUCGUG